rnacentral:misc_RNA from 1 species
AAUUUAACAUAUAUAAUAAAUAUAAUGCCAAACACCAUUUCAAUGGUUUUCACUCUGCGAGGACCAUUUUUAUGCAGUGAAUUCUUCAUAAGGUUUUGAAGAAGAUAUACAUAUAAAUGCAGAUUAUAGAUAUGAUGCGUGAUGAGAGAAACCUAAACAGCCAGAUCAUCAUGUGACCAAAAAUAGAGCAAUAGUCGACAUAGCAUGAGCUACAGCAUCUCAUAAAAGCUACUCUCUCUCUCUCUCACUCUCCCCUCCCUCACAAUAUGCAGACUCGAAUCUAACCAUAUUCUUUGUUCCAUCUCUCAGAAAUUAUAUGUUUUCCCCAGGAUUGGAGGUAAUCUGGCCCCAAAGAUUUUUAAAAACCAGCUCAGGGGCAGUAAAGGAAAGCAGAACCAAAAUUCCCCAUUAAUGACACCAAACAGGCCACCACCGAUAUUCAAGGGAUAGAAAACACAAUACCCCCCACAAAAACCAUACAUACAUCCCAGUAGACUCAAGCUCCUAGCUCUUGUAAUAAAUGUUUUUCAUUUCUUCUCAUUUCUCUUCUUUUUUUUUUUUUUUCUUAUUUUUCCCUUUUAAUUUUUCAUCUGUCUUUAUAAAGUUGUUUUCUUUUGUUUUCCUUCUAAUUGUCUUUCUAAUUGCCCCACGAGAAAUCAUGUUUCAUCGUGCCAAGGCAAGACCACUACCAUCAAAAAAAUACGAGACAUCCACCACUGUAAUCAAAACCCUCACUCUGCACCUUCCACCAAGAAGUUGCAGUAGAAUGUGCAUUUGCACACAUUUUACUUACUCAAAUUUCUUGCUAAAGUAGAUGAAGUUGAAACUCCUUGUACACUAACUUGACCUGUUCCUUCAGUAGUGGAUACUAGUGACUGGCUUUUCAAGUCCCCAGAUGAUGAUCUACCAAGAGAGGCCUCAUUACGAACAUCUGCUGGACUCCUUCCACUGCUGUGGCUACUGGCAUUUUCCUCCAAUGAAAUACGCUGGACACGGGCUGCCAGCAUGUCAUGACUGGACCUCCCAAGUGUCGGGUGACCUGAAACACUUGGAAACUGAACAGAAGGUGGCAUUAUCCAUCUCAUCCAAUCAUUUCGCCUCCUUACUUUGUCACCCUGUACUUCAACAACAGUUGAACUUCUUAUAGCUUCCGAUAUAAACUGGAUAUUGUCAGUCAAAUGAGAAACUUUGUUGAAGCCUGCUAUUAGUUUAAUAGAUACCCAGCCCUGGUCAUCCA